rnacentral:tRNA from 2 species
GCCUCCGUAGCUCAGUGGAUUAGAGCAUCGGGCUUCUAUCCCGUUGGCCGUAGGUUCGAGUCCUACCGGAGGUACCA